GACGAACUGUCCUAACGUUGUUCGGAAUCACUGGGCUUAAAGGGCGCGUAGGCGGUCCGACAAGUCAGGGGUGAAAUACUGCAGCUCAACUGUAGAAGUGCCUUUGAUACUGUCGGUCUCGAGGGAGAUAGGGGUGUGCGGAACUUCCAGUGGAGCGGUGAAAUGCGUUGAUAUUGGAAGGAACGCCGGUGGCGAAAGCGGCGCACUGGAUCUCUCCUGACGCUGAGGCGCGAAAGCCAGGGGAGCAACGGG
rnacentral:rRNA from 1 species